CUUUUCGGCAAUACCCGGAUGGAAGCGUAAUGGCCGCCAUCAGGGACUCGCAGGCAAUGGGGACCACGACAGAUAUCGUCUCUUCUUUUGAUCACUGUUCCUGAUUGUGGCUUUGUCCAAGCAUUAAAUUGCGUGCCUUUUGUUCCUUGAAGAAGGAGCUGGUGCUAACAAGUCCCAACUCGACCCCUGGACCCAGCUCAAAACUCUGGAUUCAUUCUCUUCCUUCCCAUACCUCAGCCUAAGCUUUCUGUCUCCCCAAAGGGUACCACAUGAUCUUCUUCUCAAGUCCUCACUUUCUAGAAUCUCAAGGUAUGUUCAGGGAGGAAGUGGGCAGAUUUAUGUCCUUUACUUUCUUACUUAGGGCAUAAGAGAUGCUUAUUAAAUGCUUAUUAAAUGAAUGUCCCCUAGGCAAAUUCCUCUUUAAAAGUGGUACUUGGCAGUGGGUUAGCAUUU
rnacentral:lncRNA from 1 species